UCGAGAACGUCAUCCGCGACGCCGUCACCUACACCGAGCACGCCCGCCGCAAGACCGUCACCGCCAUGGACGUCGUCUACGCGCUCAAGCGCCAGGGCCGCACCCUGUACGGCUUCGGCGGCUGAAGAGCCGCGGCGCUGGCUGGCCCUGGCGCACAAGCCCUGGCUCGCGGUCAAGAAAUCGAAGGAGGAGAGAAAGCUGUAGUUGAUUUGGGUUCUGUGCCUUCCAUGCUUAGUACUAGUAGUAUCCUAUGCUUAGUAGUUUGCUUCCGUGUUCUGAACCUGAUGGGCAAAUACUGUGUUCGCCGAGUUAUAUGAUUCAGUUAACGAAUUGUUCUCUAGUUAUGAAUUAUGCUAAUGACGAUGCUAUUCUGUUUUACAA
rnacentral:lncRNA from 1 species